GCAUUAAUGGGGUAGUGGUAACCUGGGUCGUUGCCAUUGUGUUUAAAGCUCGCAAGCAUCGACCCGCCGGGGGUUCGAUUCCCUCUUAAUGCA
rfam:Moniliophthora roreri MCA 2997 sctg_0981_0003, whole genome shotgun sequence.